GGGGUGGGAAGAAAACUUUUCCUCUGUCACCUUAGGUUCUGAAGGUUGGGGAGAUGCAAAUUAGCUGACAACAGACCAGGAGAGAAGACAAGGUUUCUUCAGAUCUGCAUGAAUACAGAGGCAGGUGGCAAUUAUCAGUCACCUGCUGAAUAGCUGGAAGCAAAUAUUGAUAUAGCAAAAAUGUGUGGGAGGAGGUGAGAGCUUCAAUGGAAAAUGGGAGAGACUCUACUGGGUUCUUUAAUGCCACUGGAGAGCUGAAUUCACACUUCCCAGGGCUAAAGAAAAGUCACUAGAGAAAAGUGCGAGAUUAACUACGUCAAUUCUGUGCAGCUUCUAUUUGUAUUUCGAUCCCUCCAAGAAGUUGGCAAUACGGUAAGCAGCAAACGCGAACGGUUACUUAUGAAUCUAAAGACACUUGAAUGGCAUUUGUCUGCAAGCACUGAUUACACAUCCACUCCCAUCUCUGGGCAUCUUUCUGCAUUUUUUAAAAUUUAAGCAACAGCCAUAAGUACCAAUAGGCUUGGGUUAAUGAAAAUAAUGCUGUCAUUAAUGUUGAUAUAAAAUAACUAUCAAGAGUAAAAUGUGGAGGGGGGGAGCUGGCUACUUACUUUAGGGCUCCUGAGUUUUCUCCCCCAUAAAUAAUUUCACAUAAAGAAUGUAAGCGAGGCUGGUCUGUGAGCCGCCUACCCUGAGAAAGUGGGCUGAGAAAGGU
rnacentral:lncRNA from 1 species